rnacentral:rRNA from 1 species
CAACCCGAUGCAAACUGCGAAUACCGGAGAAUGUUAUCACGGGAGACACACGGCGGGUGCUAACGUCCGUCGUGAAGAGGGAAACAACCCAGACCGCCAGCUAAGGUCCCAAAGUCAUGGUUAAGUGGGAAACGAUGUGGGAAGGCCCAGACAGCCAGGAUGUUGGCUUAGAAGCAGCCAUCAUUUAAAGAAAGCGUAAUAGCUCACUGGUCGAGUCGGCCUGCGCGGAAGAUGUAACGGGGCUAAACCAUGCACCGAAGCUGCGGCAGCGACACUGUGUGUUGUUGGGUAGGGGAGCGUUCUGUAAGCCUGUGAAGGUGUGUCGUGAGGCAUGCUGGAGGUAUCAGAAGUGCGAAUGCUGACAUAAGUAACGAUAAAGCGGGUGAAAAGCCCGCUCGCCGGAAGACCAAGGGUUCCUGUCCAACGUUAAUCGGGGCAGGGUGAGUCGACCCCUAAGGCGAGGCCGAAAGGCGUAGUCGAUGGGAAACGGGUUAAUAUUCCCGUACUUGGUGUUACUGCGAAGGGGGGACGGAGAAGGCUAUGUUGGCCGGGCGACGGUUGUCCCGGUUUAAGCGUGUAGGUGUGUGUUCCAGGUAAAUCCGGUUCACUUUAACACUGAGGCGUGACGACGAGGCACUACGGUGCUGAAGCAACAAAUGCCCUGCUUCCAGGAAAAGCCUCUAAGCAUCAGGUAACAUCAAAUCGUACCCCAAACCGACACAGGUGGUCAGGUAGAGAAUACCAAGGCGCUUGAGAGAACUCGGGUGAAGGAACUAGGCAAAAUGGUGCCGUAACUUCGGGAGAAGGCACGCUGACACGUAGGUGAAGUGAUUUACUCAUGGAGCUGAA